rnacentral:rRNA from 1 species
UACGUAGGGUGCGAGCGUUGUCCGGAAUCAUUGGGCGUAAAGAGCUCGUAGGCGGUUCGGCAAGUCGGAUGUGAAAUCUCCACGCUCAACGUGGAGGGGCCAUUCGAAACUGCCGUGACUCGAGUCCGGUAGGGGAGUGCGGAAUUCCCGGUGUAGCGGUGAAAUGCGCAGAUAUCGGGAGGAACACCAGUGGCGAAGGCGGCACUCUGGGCCGGAACUGACGCUGAGGAGCGAAAGCGUGGGGAGCGAACAGG